CGUUCUCGGGGAUUGUACACACCGCCCGUCAAGUCACGAAAGUUCGGCAACACCCGAAGUCAGUGGCCCAACCGUAAGGAGGGAGCUGCCUAAGGUGGGGUUGGUAAUUGGGACU
rnacentral:rRNA from 1 species